rnacentral:rRNA from 1 species
GACGAACGCUGGCGGCGUGCUUAACACAUGCAAGUCGAACGAUGAAGCUAGAGCUUGCUCUGGUGGAUUAGUGGCGAACGGGUGAGUAACACGUGAGUAACCUGCCCCGAACUCUGGGAUAACUGCUGGAAACGGUAGCUAAUACCGGAUAUGACCAAUGAAGGCAUCUUCUGUUGGUGGAAAGAAUUUCGGUUCGGGAUGGACUCGCGGCCUAUCAGCUUGUUGGUGAGGUAACGGCUCACCAAGGCGACGACGGGUAGCCGGCCUGAGAGGGUGAUCGGCCACACUGGGACUGAGACACGGCCCAGACUCCUACGGGAGGCAGCAGUGGGGAAUAUUGCACAAUGGGCGCAAGCCUGAUGCAGCAACGCCGCGUGAGGGACGACGGCCUUCGGGUUGUAAACCUCUUUUAGUAGGGAAGAAGCGAGAGUGACGGUACCUGCAAAAAAAGCACCGGCUAACUACGUGCCAGCCGCCGCAGUAA